CUCUGUCCAACUGUCCACUCCUGCUGUUUGUCUGAUGUCUGCUUUGAGGGCCCUCCUGGCCGUGGACCCAGGGGCUGCCUGUCUGGUCCCUGACUUGGUAGGGCUCAUGACAGGCUGGGAGAACAGAGGUAGAUGGAGAGCAUGGGCCCUCAUGCCAGGGGAGAUGUGCUGUAACGGGGGCACCCAGUGUGGGUGGAAUGUGACCUCCUGUGCUUCCUGGGGUGCUGGAGGAUGUGGUCAGAGGUUCAGAGUGGGGACAAGGUGAGAGACCCAAGAGCCGCUGGGGCAGGUCUCAAACACAGCUAAGGAACCUGCAGCCUGUAACAAGCGUCAAAUCCCGCACCACGACACUGGCCCUCCCACAGCGUGCGGAGUGCUCAGGGUGUUCGCGAGGCUGUACAAGUGCUAACGCGAGCUAGUCGCCCCCCAUACAGCCCCCAUACAGCCCGUGUCUGCCGGCAGCCGCGCCCCUGUCCCUCCACGGCACCUGGGCACGCCAACCUGCUUCCCGCAUCUGGGCAUUGCCAGAUCCAGGCCUUGGAAACAUGCCACCUGCGACCUUUGUGU
rnacentral:lncRNA from 1 species